CACCUCGAUGUCGGCUCAUCGCAUCCUGGGGCUGAAGUAGGUCCCAAGGGUUGGGCUGUUCGCCCAUUAAAGCGGUACGCGAGCUGGGUUCAGAACGUCGUGAGACAGUUCGGUCCCUAUCUGUCGUGGGCGUAGGAAAUUUGAGAGGAGCUGUCCUUAGUACGAGAGGACCGGGAUGGACGUACCGCUGGUGCACCAGUUGUUCCGCCAGGAGCACGGCUGGGUAGCUAAGUACGGAAGGGAUAAGCGCUGAAAGCAUCUAAGCGUGAAGCCCCCCUCAAGAUGAGAUUUCCCAAUUAGUAAGACCCCUUGAAGACGACGAGGUAGAUAGGUUGGAGGUGGAAGUGCAGCAAUGCAUGGAGCUGACCAAUACUAAUCGGUCGAGGGCUUAUCCUAAA
rnacentral:rRNA from 1 species